CUAAUAUCAUUGGUUAAGAACAAAUUGGUUGAUUUAACAAAGAUAUUGGUUAACUUUAAUAACAGAUUGGUUGAAAAAUGACUAAUAUCAUUGGUUAAGCAAAUGUUAACUAAGAGAUUGGUAACUGACGCAGGUCUGACGCUCAACGUCAAGUACGUAACUCUGCUUCUCAAUUUUCUGACAAAGCCGCCAUCUUGGUGCUGCAGGAAAGCCGUUUGAGAUAUUGGUGGAAUUCAAACACUUUGUGAGAUGACAGAAUAUUGCUGAAGGAUCCUACAUGGAAGCUGGCUGAUUACACGGAGUGAUUCCUCUGGUGUGGUGUACCUCAGAGAAAUAAACACUGUUGCAAGAGCUGAGAAGAUGGCCAAGAUAUCCUUAUUGCUGGAUGGUAGCUCUGGUCGUAGUGGACCAUAUCUGCAAAUGCUUCUGAACAUUGACAGAAUGU